UGCGUAGGUGGCGCGUUAAGUCCGUUGUGAAAUCCCUGGGCUCAACCCAGGAACUGCUUCGGAUACUGGCGUGCUUGAGGCCGGUAGGGGUCACUGGAACUGACGGUGGAGCGGUGAAAUGCGUAGAUAUCGUCAGGAACGCCGAUGGUGAAGACAGGUGACUGGGCCGGAACUGACACUGAGGCACGAAAGCGUGGGGAGCGAACGGGAUUAGAUACCCCGGUAGUCCACGCCCUAAACGACGCAGACUAGACUGCAGCGGGUUACACCCCGUUGCGGUCGGAGCGAAAUUGUUAAGUCUGCCACCUGGGAAGUACGGUCGCAAGGCUAAA
rnacentral:rRNA from 1 species